CCUACGGGGCGCAGCAGUAGGGAAUCUUUCACAAUGGGCGAAAGCCUGAUGGAGCAACGCCGCGUGCGGGAUGAAGGCCUUCGGGUUGUAAACUGCUUUUAUAAGCGAGGAAUAUGAUGGUAACUUAUGAAUAAGGAUCGGCUAACUACGUGCCAGCAGCCGCGGUCAUACGUAGGAUCCGAGCAUUAUCCGGAGUGACUGGGUGUAAAGAGUUGCGUAGGUGGAAUAAUAAGUAGCUAGUGAAAUCUGGUGGCUCAACCAUUCAGACUAUUAGCUAAACUGUUAAGCUCGAGAACGUUAGGGGUAACUGGAAUUUCUAGUGUAGGAGUGAAAUCCGUAGAUAUUAGAAGGAACACCAAUAGCGUAGGCAGGUUACUGGGACGGUUCUGACACUAAGGCACGAAAGCGUAGGGAGCAAACGGGAUUAGAUACCCUGGUAGUC
rnacentral:rRNA from 1 species